rfam:Myotis lucifugus cont2.27174, whole genome shotgun sequence.
GGCGGUUCUCGGGUGAUGCUCCCCGGAAUCGGGUUCCCUUCUCUCUGGUUCCAGGGUGCGUCACCCGAGAAUCACU